rnacentral:misc_RNA from 1 species
AAGUCGUAACAAGGUUUCCGUAGGUGAACCUGCGGAAGGAUCAUUAUCGAGUCUUUGAAGUGGGUCUUUGAGCUGGCCUUCAUUGGCAAGUGCUCGGGUCCCGCUCCAAAAUCCACUCAACUACACCUGUGCACUUUCGGAGGAUUCGCGGGGGGAACUUGUUUCCCCUGCGAGCCACCCUCCGUCUCUUAUCACAAACAUCGUAUUACAUGUCUUGUAGAACGCGUUGAAUGCCUUACGGGGCAAAAACAUAAUACAACUUUCAACAACGGAUCUCUUGGCUCUC